GGGGAUUUAGCUCAGUGGAAGAGCAUUUGCCUAGCAAGCGCAAGGCCCUGGGUUCGGUCCCCAGCUCCA
rnacentral:tRNA from 1 species